AAGCGAGCGAGCUGCUUGUCGAUCGAGCCGCUUCCCCGAGCGGCGGCGGAGCGGCUGGCUGGAAAGCCGUCCAUCAGCAACCAGUCCGACCUGCCCGUGAUAAUAUGCGAUCAACACCAAAUCACCCCCGCCAGGCACGAUCCAUCAUCGCCGCGAUGCGAUGGGCCCUUUUAUGGCUGUGCCUACGCGGGGGGCGGGCGAGAGGGAAGGGGGAGGGAGCGGAGUGGAGGGAGCAGGGAGCGUGUGAGUGGGGAGGGGGGCAUCCGCCGCAAUGGGAACCGCAGCCCCCCCGGCUCUCGAAGCGGCGAAGCCGAAAGUUGCCGGGCCGGGGCUGCGCCUGGCAGCGGGCCCCGCCGCCUCCGCCUGCCGUCAGCCUCCCCUCCCCCCGCCGGCUCCUCCGGGGCGAGCUUGACUGGCGUUAAAUUAAUAAUUAAUCGGGUGAAAUUGAUUAAAGGGCUCUGCGCGCGAUGGGGCGCGGGGAGAGCCCUUUGCCUCCGCUCCGGCAGCGGGGAGCCGCCGGCCCAGGGAGCUCCGGGGGCGCCCGGCCCGAGCAGGAAGGAAAAGGGCGGCGGGGAGCGGGGCGGGGGAGGAAGGCGGCGGCGGCGGCGGCGGCGGCGGCGGCUGCCAGCCCCAGCAGGUGCGGAGUGUUCAGUAAGGCGAGCGGGUGCGGGGCCGCGUGGUGGUGCGGGGGGGCGGCCGGGAAGGCGCGGUUGGUCCAGNNNNNNNNNNNNNNNNGAGCGGGGCGGGGGAGGAAGGCGGCGGCGGCGGCUGCAGCAGCAGCAGCAGCAGCCCCGCUGGUGGCUGCCUGCAAGCGAGAGCGGCGGCGGCGGCGGCAGCAGCAGCAGGCGAGGGCUGGCCCCGGGCUGGCUCGGCUCCGCGCAGCUGGGACUGCGUGUGCGUGUACAAAGCCGGAGCCCGGGAGCAGCCCGAGGGCGGUGCUCGGCACCACAACGCCAACCCUUCUUCCCUUCCCUGCCCCCCCCGCCGAGAUCAGUCUCUGCCACGGAGGGAGUGGGGAACCGCAGGGGACGCGGCCGGGCCGGCGCACGCCUCAGCUGCAGCCCCGCCGAGCUUAAUUCUGCUGCAGACCUCAGCCUUAACGAACAGGUAGGCACGGCUUAGCUCAGCAUCAUUUUAAAUGCCAGGUUCAAAAAACGUUAAACUCUACCAGGUCGUGGGUGAUCGGGCUCUCCUUUGUCAGAGAUUCAUACUGAAGACAAACAUUGGUGGCAAUUGUGUCUAAAAAUACUUCAGAACCUGCUUCUUGGGGGAUAACGCAGACGCCAGGCGCCUGACCACGGCUGUAAAUUGCUGUCAGUGACAGAGCUUGGGCGUAUUUAGGGGACCCGGGUUUGCCCUUUCCUUGACAGGACAGUGGCUCGCCUUGGGGUUCGUCUGCUCAUGUCACUGUCAUCUGUCAUGACACACUCAUACGGGACCCAGCUGCUUACACUGGGAAAGAAGAAAUGUGAAAAUAAUUGGUUGAUGCUUAUGUGGCUCCUUAGGCUACACCUGCAUAGCCCUUUUCAGGGCUCUCUAUUUGAAGAAUCAUUAACCUUACAUAUACAUACUGCCCUAUAUCUUAGAUAAUGUGCCCUACUGCCGUUAACCUUUACAUAAUGCAAGUGCAGAAAAAGCCUCAUCACCACUGAGCGCAUCCUGGUACAAUCUGGCUGCCAUUUAACAAUUAUACUGAAAGCAUCGUCAUGUUUCGGUAUACUCCUUUCUGAGGUGAGAUUGAUCCUCCUAGAAUCUUUUCAACUCUGGGUUUUUAGCAAUGCAGAAUACCCCCAAUACACCAGAAUGCCCGAGGGCCAGGCUGUGAACACAGAGCCACUCGCUGUUGCUGAGAAGUGGCCGCCAAGCAGAGUGAACACAGUGAGCACCAGCUCUGGCACACAGAGGGCUCUGGCUGCUGCCUGUGCUCAGCACGGCGCUGCCUCCGGCUUCUCCCAGCAGUGCUGGCAGGGCCUCAGCCCGGGCUCAGUGCUUGGCCGCGUGCUGUACUAUGCAUGCAGGGGAUGGGCUUGGGCAGCGUGCUACCAGCAUUAUGAGGGAUUUAAGGGGGGGAGAGAAAAGCGUGACUCCUCAGCAUAAGAUUCACACAGCAAAGGCCCUAUAAGGGAAAGCCCCGUAUCCCUGGAACAUGAGUGCAGACAUAUUGUUAGAGAGUAGAAAGGCAGUAAUUAGGGCUGGGGACCGAUCACACUCUGUUGCCAGAGGAGAUGAUUCUCACUGCGGAUACACAGCCAGCUCUGUUUUACUCUAUCAUUUCUGUUUUUGAGCCUGCUGGAAACCUCGGAGAAGUGACAAACAGGAAUCAGAAGAGUGCAAGAAAAGUUACUUCUGGGCAAAAUGUCAUCCACCAGGAUGCCACUUACAGUGUAUUUUGGUAAAAGUCCCCAAAUUACAGUUCUUCAAUAUUAAAAUAAAUAUCAGGCAUAAUACA
rnacentral:lncRNA from 1 species